rnacentral:rRNA from 2 species
GGGCGCACGCGCGCUACACUGACUGAACCAACGAGUUUAUCACCUUGGCCGGAAGGUCUGGGUAAUCUUGUGAAAUUCAGUCGUGCUGGGGAUAGAGCAUUGCAAUUCUUGCUCUUCAACGAGGAAUUCCUAGUAAGCGUGAGUCAUCAGCUCGCGUUGAUUACGUCCC